CAGCUCAGGACGAACGCUGGCGGCGUGCUUAACACAUGCAAGUCGAACGAUGAAGCUGGAGCUUGCUCUGGUGGAUUAGUGGCGAACGGGUGAGUAACACGUGAGUAACCUGCCCUGAACUCUGGGAUAAGCGUUGGAAACGACGUCUAAUACCGGAUAGGACCUUGGAUCGCAUGAUCUGGGGUGGAAAGUUUUUCGGUUUGGGAUGGACUCGCGGCCUAUCAGCUUGUUGGUGAGGUAAUGGCUCACCAAGGCGUCGACGGGUAGCCGGCCUGAGAGGGUGACCGGCCACACUGGGACUGAGACACGGCCCAGACUCCUACGGGAGGCAGCAGUGGGGAAUAUUGCACAAUGGGCGCAAGCCUGAUGCAGCAACGCCGCGUGCGGGAUGACGGCCUUCGGGUUGUAAACCGCUUUUAGUAGGGAAGAAGGGCUUCGGCUUGACGGUACCUGCAGAAAAAGGACCGGCUAACUACGUGCCAGCAGCCGCGGUAAUACGUAGGGUCCGAGCGUUGUCCGGAAUUAUUGGGCGUAAAGAGCUCGUAGGCGGUUUGUCGCGUCUGCUGUGAAAACUAGAGGCUCAACCUCUAGCCUGCAGUGGGUACGGGCAGACUUGAGUGCGGUAGGGGAGAAUGGAAUUCCUGGUGUAGCGGUGGAAUGCGCAGAUAUCAGGAGGAACACCGAUGGCGAAGGCAGUUCUCUGGGCCGUAACUGACGCUGAGGAGCGAAAGCGUGGGGAGCGAACAGGAUUAGAUACCCUGGUAGUCCACGCCGUAAACGUUGGGCGCUAGAUGUGGGGACCU
rnacentral:rRNA from 1 species